CUUCACGGAGCCCAGCCACAGCGGGCGGUCCUCGGUGUGCUCCCGGCCGUACGUGGCCAGCAGGGCCUGCGCCUC
rnacentral:antisense_RNA from 1 species